rnacentral:rRNA from 1 species
UACGGGGGGAGCAAGCGUUGUUCGGAUUUACUGGGCGUAAAGGGCGCGUAGGCGGUCAGCACAAGUCAGUUGUGAAAUCUCCGGGCUUAACUCGGAAAGGUCAACUGAUACUGUGCGACUAGAGUGCAGAAGGGGCAACUGGAAUUCUUGGUGUAGCAGUGAAAUGCGUAGAUAUCAAGUGGAACACCAGUGGCGAAGGCGAAUCCCUGGAAAAUACCUGACACUGAGGCACGAAAGCUAGGGGAGCAAACAGG